UACGGAGGGAGCUAGCGUUGUUCGGAAUUACUGGGCGUAAAGCGCACGUAGGCGGCUUUGUAAGUUAGAGGUGAAAGCCCGGGGCUCAACCCCGGAAUUGCCUUUAAGACUGCAUCGCUUGAAUCCGGGAGAGGUGAGUGGAAUUCCGAGUGUAGAGGUGGAAUGCGCAGAUAUCAGGAGGAACACCGGUGGCGAAGGCGGUUCUCUGGGCAUUACCUGACGUUGAGGAGCGAAAGCGUGGGGAGCAAACAGG
rnacentral:rRNA from 1 species